GGGUCUCCAGUUGUCUAUAUAAAGAGUAUCCUUAUUAGGUUUGGGAAUCAAAGUAAUUACACCUUGCUUUAAGGAAGCCGAUAACUCAUCAUCACAAAAAUCCCUGAAAUCAUUAUCUAUCUUCUUAGCAAUGUUUGCAACACGUCAUGCUCUAUCAACUGAGCUACGAAGGAGCACGUCGACGUCACUAGAAUGAUGACAAGCAAUUUUAACGUAUUCUAAAGGGAAUCAUAGAAUUCCAAACUAAUUUCUAUGGCAACACAGUUGUCAAUUUUGUAAACAAUCAUUUUCAAACGUGUGUUGCCAAGAGACAUCUAACCGACGUUCUAUGGAACGUUUUCUGUGCGAAAAAACAACUUCAGUUUGCUGCUGACAACAAACUUGUUUGAUUUUUGAGACCUGAGAACAAUCGACUGGAAAAUGCCUGGGUGCUUUUCAAGACUGGCGGAGAGAGUGCGUGGACGUCGGCGGCCUAAUGCUUCGACAGGUUGUUCAAAUUCAUUUGUGGCUUGUUUUUCUUGUCUUUUUCUGUUUUGCAGCGA
ensembl:lncRNA